UACAGAGGUCUCAAGCGUUGUUCGGAUUCAUUGGGCGUAAAGGGUGCGUAGGUGGCACUGUAAGUCGGGUGUGAAAUCCUGGGGCUUAACCCCGGAACUGCAUUCGAUACUGCAGUGCUUGAGGACUGGAGAGGAGACUGGAAUUCAUGGUGUAGCAGUGAAAUGCGUAGAGAUCAUGAGGAAGACCAGUGGCGAAGGCGGGUCUCUGGACAGUUCCUGACACUGAGACACGAAGGCCAGGGGAGCAAACGGG
rnacentral:rRNA from 1 species